UUGGCGCUGCGCAAUUAUUGACGAUCGCAGUUGACGUCGCAUUUAUGUUUUUGUUUUGUUAAAUAUUUAUAUAUAUUUAUAUAUAUACAUGUAGAUCCGGGUGUAUUCUUUUAUUGGAGGUUGCGCAAUUAUUGACGAUCGCAGUUAACUAUUCAGUUCAGCGAGAUAUUGAGAGGAAAGAUGGAACCAAAUAAUUCUGGACCAAAAGUACUAAACAUACCGAUUCGUCUAAUAGUUAUCAUUUUUGUAUGUCUUGUCGGAUUGUGCCUCACUGUAGCAGGUUUAGUAACUAAUAGCUGGUAUGUUUAUUAUACUGUACGAGCUGGAGGUUUUAGGAUACAGGAAGGGAUGUGGAAGCGGUAUUGGUUGGGUACUGAACAAGACCAGUCAGAUUCUGUACCAAUAGCCUCAAGAGCAUUUGUAAUCAUGGGUGUACUUGUUGGUGUUGCCUGUUUGAUACUCCUCAUAAUCUUUAUGGUCUCGAGUAAGAAGACUAAAGUGGUGAGAAUUUUAUCAGCCAUAAGUAGUUUUUUAGCUGGAAUACUAAUAUUAAUUGGUGUGAUCAUAUUCGAUACUUACUUCAAUCCUGACUAUUCGUAUUCGUUUUUCUUGGCAUUAUUUGGUGGUCUUUUGUAUUUGGUAACUGGCAUUCUGGUGUUGGUUGAUAUGAGGGUAACAAACUACAGUACCUAAUAAAUGUUCACAAUCGCAAGAAAUUGUUCAUAUUGCUUGUACAUAUUAUUGUAAAAAAAAAGGGGUUUUUUUAUAUGAGGAUGACAAGCUGAAACGCAAAAAUAAUGUUCGCAGUCGCAAAAAAUUCUUCAUAUUGCUUGUAGAUAUUAUUGAAAAAAGAAUGUUUUUUUGUUUAUAUAACCAUUUAUAUCCUAUAUACAUAAAAGAUAAUACUCCCGAUCAAUUAAAGAACAGUAACUGCGUUUAUAUUAAUGUAUUUUGAUCAAACUUAGAAUAUAUUUUCAUUUCUACAACAUAACAUCAACCCCAUCCGCAACUAUUCAUUGGACCUAUUGAUUCCAAAUUCAACCUCAGACUAUAUUCCAUACAUAAAUAGUUUUAGUCUAUAUACCCAGCUCCUUAUUAGAUAAUACAUAUCUGAAUUUUUAACACAUUUCAUGUAUUUUAAACUAAUUAUUAAUCAUUUCAUUUAUAGCCGCUGGCAACGGUCUUGGAAACUUGCAGGCACAACCAAACUUAAUCUAAAGGGACUGACUCAACUCCUGUAUAGAACCAAAUGUAGGGAUGAAGUUGUUUUGUCGCUCUCGCAUAGGUCAUACUUUUUAAGACAUCCCCACGAGGUUGGACAGGUGACCCUACUCCUUGUCACCUACAACCGUAGAUUUGAAAUCAUGCCAGUUGACUCAAUAACAGGCUUUAUGAUACAGCGCGCACGUGCUAACCAUUCGGCCACCACCACCCCCCCCCCCCCCCCACACACACACACACACUGUAUGUAUUCGACAUAGUCUAACAAAAUAUUAUUUAUAGUUCACUCGUUGAAUUAGUGCCAAGACUGCAAUGUAACCUUACGGAUUAAUUUUCUCGUGCAGCAAACUUAAUUCAUUAAGUCAGUUAGACCUAAUUUAAUUACUCUAUGUAACAGAAAAAAUUCCAGAGAAACCUCUUGUGUGUUUAUGUCACAUGAUAAAAAUAACCAAGAUGAUUGGUUUAAUAGGUGAUUUGAUAUACUUGGUUGCCGCUUAAACAGGCAUUAUGCAAGAACUAAAUCUGCCUAUUGCAGGUCUUCCUUUAUGCAUUAAAUGUUAUAUAAACUCAAUCAUCGGAUAGUCUAGAUUUUCUUCAGUAACAAUGACAAUCGCGGCUGCAGGGUUAUUGUAACGGCGAUAUCUUGGCUCAGAGUGAGGUAAUUUGACUGAAAUUUUCAACAUAUUCCCUAUUCAUUAUUCAUUAUCAAUUUAUCUAAUCUUCAAUAAUGCCCCUUUAACUUGUCACCGAGGUGAGCACAUUACACGAUUUGUUACCGACGAAGCGACGACUUGCGCGAUCAUAUUAAGCAUGUCAGAUAUCAGCGACCAUUGCCACGAUGGUGACAAAAAAUCGUGAGCGACUAGGUGAACACAGUAUAGAGCAGGAGCCCAGGGGGUUAACCUAGCUGAAAAGUGUACGAAUUUUCUCCUAUAUGGUAUCAAUGUAUGUAUAUCUGGUAUCAUCUGAAUGUAAGUCUGCCGGGUUUCUGGUGGUGGGUGUGGUAUUCCACGCCCAAAAUGCCAUGAUCCCCAACUAGGCUAGAUUAGCUCAAAAGUGAUCCACAUGAAAAUCGCACAGCAAUGUAAGGUACAUCUUCAGGUAUUACAAAAACACCCUGACAGACAUUUCUAGUGGUGGGGGUACCCCUGACAGAGCUAUGUAAUUGCCAGACAUUUGUAGGGACGGAGUAUCCCUGACAAGAGUUAUCUAAUUUCCAGACCAAAGCUAGGCUAGAUUCGCUCAAAUCUGUACCACCUAAAACAAUGUGUGCUAUACAGUGUGCUAUGAGGGGAAUUUUGCCCGGACAGCGGCACUACAUCCUACUCUUAUAUCGAAUUCCAACUGUCAAGGGACCCUUUAGGUCCACGCUGUUUGCCCAACCCCGUCUGUAUUGUAAACUGCUAGACUUUUUAAGAGAGACAAAUUAUUACUGAAAUUUUUAAUUGUAUAUUUGUGAUUUUUUAAUUUUUGUAUUUAUAUAAAGUUUUGUGAAACUUUCUUUUUAA